rnacentral:tRNA from 1 species
GGACAGAUGGCCGAGUGGUCUAAGGCGCUGCGUUUAGGCCGCAGUCUUCACGGGCGUGGGUGUAAGUUUACUCAACUCAACAACUUUGAAUCACAGGUACUAAUAUUAACACAGUCGAAUCCCACUCUGUUCA